AUACCUUUCUCGGCCUUUUGGCUAAGAUCAAGUGUAGUAUCUGUUCUUAUCAGUUUAAUAUACGAUAUGUGGGUCAUGUGUCCACUUCGAUAUUGAAUUUAUUUUUUGUGAGGAAGGGUUCACCGCAGUGGCUUGCCACUGGGGCCCUAAUGUCGCUCGGGCGUUGCACUGCAGCCUGAGCCGGGCGCACCUCAA
rnacentral:snRNA from 2 species